UACGAAGGGGGCUAGCGUUGCUCGGAAUCACUGGGCGUAAAGCGCACGUAGGCGGAUUGCUAAGUCAGGGGUGAAAAUCCUGGACUCAACUCCAGAACUGCCUUUGAUACUGGAGAGCUUGAGUCCGGGGAGAGGUGAGUGGAACUGCGAGUGUAGAGGUGAAAUUCGUAGAUAUUCGCAAGAACACCAGUGGCGAAGGCGGCUCACUGGCCCGGUACUGACGCUGAGGUG
rnacentral:rRNA from 1 species